rnacentral:rRNA from 1 species
GACGAACGCUGGCGGCGUGCCUAAUACAUGCAAGUCGAACGCAGUGGGGACGGGUGAGUAACACGCGGGUAACCUCCCAUCAGAGGGGAUAACACUUGGCAACAGGUGCUAAACCGAUACUGAUGUAUGAAUCCGCGGUGCAUUAGCUAGUUGGUGAGGUAACGGCUCACCAAGGACACGAUGCGGAGCCGACUUGGGAGGGUGAGCGGCCACACUGGGACGGAGACACGGCACAGACGCCUACGGGAGGCAGCAGUAGGGAAUCGUAGGAAAUGGACGGAAGUCUGACCGAGCAACGCCGCGUGAGUGAAGAAGGUUUUCGGAUCGUAAAGCUCUGUUGUUAGAGAAGCGGUAACUAACCAGAAAGGGACGGCUAACUACGUGCCAGCAGCCGCGGUAAUUC